UUCUAUAGUUUCUAGAAAAUACGAGCGUCCCUUUCUACAGUUAGGAGGAGUUACAGUUUGAUAAUAGGGAACAGAUUUUGAGAACACAGAAACGAUACAUACGUAUUACGAUCAUGAAUGGACCGACUUACAAGGAUAACAUAUUACUCUACGAUCAUGGGAUGUGACAGUCAUCCCAUCUUUCCCUUUACCUUCGUUGCGGCUAUAAAUAGACACUCAUGGUUCUUCCAUAAUACUCGUACAACAUCAUCAAAGUUUUCUUGAAUUUCAAUACUUGUUUUUCUUUCAUCAAUCUUAUCAAAAAAAAAAACAUGUCUUGCUGUGGUGGAUCUUGCGGGGGACCGGUGCUACCUCCGACUCCGAAGCUGAUGGAAAUGGGAGAAUUCUCUGCUGAGAAUGGCUGCAAGUGUGACCCUUGCACUUGUUCUAAAUGAACAAACUAAAGUUUAACAGAGCAGAGAUCAUGGUUAAAUAACUAGUCUUAAAUUGUCGAGUUUAUAGUUUUGUGUCUGUUGAAUCAGGGAAAGGCUAUGUGUUUUUUCCCUGUAAUAAGAAAUAGUAAUGUUUAUAAGUAGUAGUAAUGUGGUUUGUGUAAGCGAGCAUCUCUGCAUCUGGUAAUGUUAACAUAUUAGUGUUUGGAA